rnacentral:sRNA from 1 species
UAUUUCCAAUUGGAUGUCUGAUGAGCACCUCAGCUACAGCAAUUUUAGAAUUAAAUUUCACCCAUUAUCACUGUCCAAAAAACACCUGUUUUUCCUCCUGGAAUCAAUAUAUUCUUUUAUUACUUCUACCUUUUUUCACUUGCCAGCCAGCUCUUAAUAUCUUAAUUUGUUUCUCUUUUUCACUGUUCACAUCCCAUCAGAAAAAAUAUCUUGUCCAUUCUACCUCAAAAGUGUGCUCUUGUGAUGGUAUAAAUACAAUAUUGUGAGAGCACUAAGGAAAAAAACACUUAACUGUGCCUUUAAGAGUCAGGAAAAGCUUCCUAAAAGUGGUAUUUAAAAGUGAAGUUUGUGAACUACUUCCUUUUCAUCCUGUUGUGAUAUCUUUACAAGUUUGUUUUUCUAGUCUGUAAGCUUUUAAAGAGCAUGAAUUUGUUCUUUAUAUGUUAAAUGUCUCACAGUAUGUGAGAGGUGAGUGCUUAAUGUUUAUGAAAUUGAUAACUGUGAAUGAAUGUCUGCAGCCUACCUCAUCCAGUCAGCUAUCUUGCUGUGUUCUUUCACACUCCUUUUCCAACCACGCUACGCUUCUUAUUCUUCAAUAAUUAAGCAUGCUUGUCUUAACUCUGUACCAUUAUGCAUGUAAUUCCCUUUACAAAAUACUCUUCUGGUAUCUUUCCUCCCUCCAAUUGGCUAGUCCUCCUUUCAUUUUAAAGAUUUUGUUCAGACGAGACCCUUCUGAAACAUUUGUAGACUUCAAUGAACAUCAUAAAUGUCUAAUAAAUACUUGCUAAAUGAAUAAACCAAGGAAGUUAUAUUUCCCUUUAGCCUUCUCUUACUAUCUUCUGAACAAAUUGCUAAUAGUCUUUUUAUUCCACUCUUUUUAAUCACCAUGCUAGGAACUCUUAACACAUAAUAUGACCUCAGUGGUUACAUUUGAAACUCUGAAAGUAAUCAAAAUAAUAAGCAGCUAUUAUAUAAUGUGGGUAAUGUUCCACCAGGCAUUAAAUGGCUAUCUUGGCAGGCAGUACAGUGUUUCUGAAAGUCACCUACAGUGUUUCUUCCUGGACCUCCGUGAUAUGGGUAAACACAGUGUAAGUUUAGUAAUGUGAAUAAUAUGCUUUCCACUCAAUCACCAGGUGCCAAUGAACUGGCUGUGCAGAAAGCAAAGGCAGAAAUCACCAGGCUCAUAAAAGAAGAGCUGAUCCGGCUGCAAAAUUCAUACCAACCAACAAAUAAAGGAAGAUACAAAGUCUUAUAGACAUCUGGAAAAAAGAUUUUUACCUGUGCUGGUCUAUGAUAUAUGUGACAGUUGCUGUCUGCAGUUUACAAUGUAUUGUAAAUUAAGAUUUUUUAAAUUCUAUCUUGCUGAUUUUUUUUAAAUAUAAGAAACUGGUACUUGGUAAAGAAAUCUGUCCGUAAGUACCCCCACAAUCCAUCAAACUAUAUUUAAAGCCGGCCUGUUUUCAGAGUAUGAUGUCCUUUAAUGUAAACUUAAAUAUCAAUAUUUUAAAUGUCCGGAUAAUAUUCUAGAGGUUUAAAAAAUGGAAAUAUUUGAACUUUCUAUUGAAGACAAUAAAGUACACAAGUCUUU